UUAAGCGACUAAGCGUACACGGUGGAUGCCCUGGCAGUCAGAGGCGAUGAAGGACGUGCUAAUCUGCGAUAAGCGUCGGUGAGGUGAUAUGAACCGUUAUAACCGGCGAUUUCCGAAUGGGGAAACCCAGUGUGUUUCGACACACUAUCAUUAACUGAAUCCAUAGGUUAAUGAGGCGAACCGGGGGAACUGAAACAUCUAAGUACCCCGAGGAAAAGAAAUCAACCGAGAUUCCCCCAGUAGCGGCGAGCGAACGGGGAGGAGCCCAGAGCCUGAAUCAGUGUGUGUGUUAGUGGAAGCGUCUGGAAAGGCGUGCGAUACAGGGUGACAGCCCCGUACACAAAAAUGCACAUAUUGUGAGCUCGAUGAGUAGGGCGGGACACGUGGUAUCCUGUCUGAAUAUGGGGGGACCAUCCUCCAAGGCUAAAUACUCCUGACUGACCGAUAGUGAACCAGUACCGUGAGGGAAAGGCGAAAAGAACCCCGGCGAGGGGAGUGAAAAAGAACCUGAAACCGUGUACGUACAAGCAGUGGGAGCCUCUUAAUGGGGUGACUGCGUACCUUUUGUAUAAUGGGUCAGCGACUUAUAUUCUGUAGCAAGGUUAACCGAAUAGGGGAGCCGAAGGGAAACCGAGUCUUAACUGGGCGUUAAGUUGCAGGGUAUAGACCCGAAACCCGGUGAUCUAGCCAUGGGCAGGUUGAAGGUUGGGUAACACUAACUGGAGGACCGAACCGACUAAUGUUGAAAAAUUAGCGGAUGACUUGUGGCUGGGGGUGAAAGGCCAAUCAAACCGGGAGAUAGCUGGUUCUCCCCGAAAGCUAUUUAGGUAGCGCCUCGUGAAUUCAUCUCCGGGGGUAGAGCACUGUUUCGGCAAGGGGGUCAUCCCGACUUACCAACCCGAUGCAAACUGCGAAUACCGGAGAAUGUUAUCACGGGAGACACACGGCGGGUGCUAACGUCCGUCGUGAAGAGGGAAACAACCCAGACCGCCAGCUAAGGUCCCAAAGUCAUGGUUAAGUGGGAAACGAUGUGGGAAGGCCCAGACAGCCAGGAUGUUGGCUUAGAAGCAGCCAUCAUUUAAAGAAAGCGUAAUAGCUCACUGGUCGAGUCGGCCUGCGCGGAAGAUGUAACGGGGCUAAACCAUGCACCGAAGCUGCGGCAGCGACACUAUGUGUUGUUGGGUAGGGGAGCGUUCUGUAAGCCUGUGAAGGUGGCCUGUGAGGGUUGCUGGAGGUAUCAGAAGUGCGAAUGCUGACAUAAGUAACGAUAAAGCGGGUGAAAAGCCCGCUCGCCGGAAGACCAAGGGUUCCUGUCCAACGUUAAUCGGGGCAGGGUGAGUCGACCCCUAAGGCGAGGCCGAAAGGCGUAGUCGAUGGGAAACAGGUUAAUAUUCCUGUACUUGGUGUUACUGCGAAGGGGGGACGGAGAAGGCUAUGUUGGCCGGGCGACGGUUGUCCCGGUUUAAGCGUGUAGGCUGGUUUUCCAGGCAAAUCCGGAAAACCAAGGCUGAGGCGUGAUGACGAGGCACUACGGUGCUGAAGCGACAAAUGCCCUGCUUCCAGGAAAAGCCUCUAAGCAUCAGGUAACAUCAAAUCGUACCCCAAACCGACACAGGUGGUCAGGUAGAGAAUACCAAGGCGCUUGAGAGAACUCGGGUGAAGGAACUAGGCAAAAUGGUGCCGUAACUUCGGGAGAAGGCACGCUGAUAUGUAGGUGAAGCGACUUGCUCGUGGAGCUGAAAUCAGUCGAAGAUACCAGCUGGCUGCAACUGUUUAUUAAAAACACAGCACUGUGCAAACACGAAAGUGGACGUAUACGGUGUGACGCCUGCCCGGUGCCGGAAGGUUAAUUGAUGGGGUUAGCGGCAACGCGAAGCUCUUGAUCGAAGCCCCGGUAAACGGCGGCCGUAACUAUAACGGUCCUAAGGUAGCGAAAUUCCUUGUCGGGUAAGUUCCGACCUGCACGAAUGGCGUAAUGAUGGCCAGGCUGUCUCCACCCGAGACUCAGUGAAAUUGAACUCGCUGUGAAGAUGCAGUGUACCCGCGGCAAGACGGAAAGACCCCGUGAACCUUUACUAUAGCUUGACACUGAACAUUGAGCCUUGAUGUGUAGGAUAGGUGGGAGGCUUUGAAGUGUGGACGCCAGUCUGCAUGGAGCCGACCUUGAAAUACCACCCUUUAAUGUUUGAUGUUCUAACGUUGGCCCGUAAUCCGGGUUGCGGACAGUGUCUGGUGGGUAGUUUGACUGGGGCGGUCUCCUCCUAAAGAGUAACGGAGGAGCACGAAGGUUGGCUAAUCCUGGUCGGACAUCAGGAGGUUAGUGCAAUGGCAUAAGCCAGCUUGACUGCGAGCGUGACGGCGCGAGCAGGUGCGAAAGCAGGUCAUAGUGAUCCGGUGGUUCUGAAUGGAAGGGCCAUCGCUCAACGGAUAAAAGGUACUCCGGGGAUAACAGGCUGAUACCGCCCAAGAGUUCAUAUCGACGGCGGUGUUUGGCACCUCGAUGUCGGCUCAUCACAUCCUGGGGCUGAAGUAGGUCCCAAGGGUAUGGCUGUUCGCCAUUUAAAGUGGUACGCGAGCUGGGUUUAGAACGUCGUGAGACAGUUCGGUCCCUAUCUGCC
rnacentral:rRNA from 1 species